GGUGGCUCAGUGGUAGAGUGCUUGCCUUGCAUGCAUGAGGCCAGGCCCUGGGUUCGAUUCCUCAGCACCA
rnacentral:tRNA from 1 species